rnacentral:rRNA from 1 species
AACUCCCUAACAUUGUGAACGUUACUAACCGUUGCUUCGGCGGGCGGCCCCGGGGUUCUCCCCGGGCGCCCCUGGGCCCCAUCGCGGGCGCCCGCCGGAGGUCUCCAAACUCUUGAUACUUUAUGGCCUCUCUGAGUCUUCUGUACUGAAUAAGUCAAAACUUUCAACAACGGAUCUCUUGGUUCUGGCAUCGAUGAAGAACGCAGCGAAAUGCGAUAAGUAAUGUGAAUUGCAGAAAUUCAGUGAAUCAUCGAAUCUUUGAACGCACAUUGCGCCCGCCAGUAUUCUGGCGGGCAUGCCUGUUCGAGCGUCAUUUCAACCAUCAAGCCCCCGGCUUGUGUUGGGGACCUGCGGCUGCCGCAGGCCCUGAAAAGCAGUGGCGGGCUCGCUGUCACACCGAGCGUAGUAGCAUACAUCUCGCUCUGGGCGUGCUGCGGGUUCCGGCCGUUAAACCACCUUCAUAACCCAAGGUUGACCUCGGAUCAGGUAGGAAGACCCGCUGAACUUAAGCAUAUCA